rnacentral:lncRNA from 1 species
AGAGCACGCCGGCUUCUGUCCAAUCAGCAAUGAGGAGAUAGCUUGCAUUAUAACGUCAGAUAAACCACUCUGCAGCACUGACGCGGAUUGCAAGAAGAACGAGAAAUGCUGUCUGUCUAAAUCUAAAAACCGCUUGCAGUGUGUACCGUCAUUGAAAGGUAAAUCCUAGGACCAGCACUGGCUAAUGGCACACUUACUGGGUACACUGGGCUAAUGGCACACUGGGUACACUGGGCUAAUGGCACACUUACUGGGUAGACUGGGUAAUGGCACACUUACUGGGUACACUGGGUAACGGCACACUAACUGGGUACACUGGGUAAUAACAGACUUACUGGAUACACUGGGCUAAUGGCACACUUACUGAGUACACUGGGUAAUGGCACACUUACUGGGUACACUGGGUAAUGGCAUACUGGGUACACUGGGUAAUGACAGACUUACUGGGCACACUGGGUAAUGGCAUACUGGGUACACUGGGUAAUGGCAUACUGGGUAUACUGGGUAAUGGCAUACUGGGUACACUGGGUAAUGGCUCACUUAAUGAGUAAACUGGGGAAUGGCACACUUACUGAGUACACUGGGGAAUGGCACACUUACUGGGUAAUGGCAUACUGGGUACACUGGGUAAUGCCAUAAUGGGUAUACUGGGUAAUGGCAUACUGGGUACACUGGGGAAUGGCACACUAACUGAGUACACUGGGUAAUGGCUCACUUAAUGAGUAAACUGGGGAAUGGCACACUAACUGAGUAAACUGGGGAAUGGCACACUAAUUGAGUACACUGGGGAAUGGCACACUAACUGAGUACACUGGGUGCAACUGCCUUGUUGUUUUCCCAGAAGGUCGUUGUCCAUUGUUCCGGCAGACCCCUUUAGUCUGCCGUAUACUAUUAUAUAUGUGUUUUAGGAGUUCUUUGUACUAUGAGAGAUAAUUGUGUUAGCGAGUCUGUGUGUAUAAAAGGAAAACAGAAGGGAAGACAUUAGUUUAUAAUACAAUGGCUGUUGGUGUCAGGCAGGUCAUUCAGUUAUGGACUUGACCUAAUUCUGUCCUAGACACUAAGACUCCAAGGAGGGACUUGCAAUGUUUUGUGUGAUGACACCCUGGUGUGAUUACUUUGCCCUUCACUAAGUCUCAGCUAGUGUUUGGGUGAGACAUGUAUAAACUAUACUCUCUGCAGGAGAGCGUGAUCACUUGGAGCUGUACCUAGGACCCUGUUACAGGGUGGGAAGCUACAGAGAGACCCCAGCCAAGCGAGCUUGACAAAGGUACCCAGUCGGGGUGCCAGGUGGUCCGUCACAGUUUCUGGCAGAGCGGAGUGACUGAGAAGGGGCGAACCUACAAAUUAGUUAAGAAUUGUAGCGGAGGGGGUAGAAUUGUUGAGAGCUCUGUUGGCAAGAUUUAAAGAGACACUAUAGUCACCAAAACAAGUGUAUCUUAAUGAAGCAGUUUUGGUGUAUAUAUCAUGCACCUGCAGUCUCAUUGCACUGCCAUUUAGGAGUUACAUAGUUACAUAGUUACAUAGCUGAAAAGAGACUUGCGUCCAUCAAGUUCAGCCUUCCUCACAUUUGUUUAUUGCUGUUGAUCCAAAAGAAGGCAAAAAAACCCAGUUUGAAGCACAAUUUUGCAACAAGCUAGGAAAAAAAUUCCUUCUUGACCCCAGAAUGGCAGUCAGAUUUAUCCUUGGAUCAAGCAGUUAUUACCCUACAUUGAAAGAUUAUAUCCUUGAAUAUUCUGUUCUUGCAAGUAUGCAUCUAGUAGCCGUUUGAACAUCUGUAUGGACUCUGAUAAAACCACUUCCUCAGGCAGAGAAUUCCACAUCCUGAUUGUUCUUACAGUAAAAAAACCUUUCCUUUGCCUUAGACGAAAUCUUCUUUCUUCCAGUCUAAACGCAUGGCCUCGUGUCCUAUGUAAAGUCCGGUUUGUGAAUAGAUUUCCACACAAUGGUUUGUAUUGGCCCCGAAUAUAUUUGUAUAAUGUUAUCAUAUCCCCUCUCAGGCGACGUUUUUCUAAACUAAAUAGGUUUAAAUUUGUUAACCUUUCUUCAUAGCCGAUAUGUUCCAUUCCUUUUAUUAAUUUUGUAGCCCGCCUCUGCACUUUUUCUAGUGCCAUAAUAUACUUCUUUAGAACAGGUGCCCAAAAUUGCACAGCAUAUUCAAUAUGGGGUCUUACCAGUGAUUUAUAAAGAGGCAAAAUUAUAUUCUUGUCCCGAGAAUGAAUGCCCUUUUUCAUGCAUGACAAUACCUUACUGGCCUUGGCCACUGCUGAUUGACAUUGCACAUUGUUGCAUAGUUUGUUGUCUAUAACAAUUCCCAAGUCCUUUUCGUGUGUUGUUAUCCCUAAUUUGCUUCCAUUAAGGGUAUACGUUGCUUGUGUAUUCUUUACGCCGAAGUGCAUAACUUUGCAUUUUUCAACAUUAAAUUUCAUCUGCCAUUUGAGUGCCCAGUCUCCCAGUCUAUCUAAAUCCCUCUGCAGCAAAGUAAUAUCUUGCUCACAUUGUAUUGUUUUACAAAGUUUUGUGUCAUCUGCAAACACUGAAACAUGACUUUCAAUGCGGUCUUCAAGAUCAUUUAUAAACAUGUUAAAUAGAAGGGGUCCCAGAACAGACCCCUGAGGGACACCACUUGCCACCUCUGUCCAGCUUGAAAAUUUACCAUUAAUGACAACUCUUUGUACUCUGUUUGUAAGCCAAUGUUCUACCCAAGAACAAGCAUUUUCAUCUAGACCGAUUUCCUUGAGUUUGAACACUAAUCUAUUGUGUGGAACUGUAUCAAAUGCCUUGGCAAAAUCCAAAUAGAUCACAUCCACUGCAACACCCUGAUCUAUACUUCUACUUACUUCUUCGUAGAACGCAAUCAAGUUAGUUUGACAUGACCUGUGCUUCAUAAAACCGUGCUGAUUUUUGCUGAUAACCAUGUUCUUCUCAAGGAAUUCUUGAAUAUUAUCCCUUAAUAAACUUUCAAAUAUUUUACCAGCCACAGAAGUUAAGCUCACAGGACUAUAAUUUCCAGGCAAGGAUUUUGAACCCUUUUUGAAUAUAGGAACCACAUCUGCCUUCCUCCAAUCCUCCGAACACUUCCUGAAAGAAAAGAAUCUUGAAAGAUUAAAAACAGAGGUUCACUUAUUUCUGCACUUAGUUCCUUAAGUACAUGUGGAUGGAUACCGUCAGGCCCUGGAGCUUUGUUUAUAUUAACUUUCUUUAGUUGCUGCAGCACCUUGUCUUGAGUUAACCAAUUACAAUUCUGCAAGUUUUUAGUAGCAAUCAUUUGCACAUCUAUUGCCAUGGGUUCUUCCUUAAUAUAUACAGAGGAGAAAUAGUUAUUUAAAAUUCCUGCCUUUUCCUGGUCUGCAUUAAUUAACACCCCUGUUUCAGUUUUUAGUGUACCUACACUUUCAUUUUUUUGUUUAGAGUUUAUGUACUUAAAAAAUGCUUUGGGUUGGUUUUGCUCUCUUCAGCUAUCAUUAUUUCAUUUUGAAGUUUAGCAAGUCUAAUUGCCUUUUUGCACGCAUUAUUUGCAUCCUUAUAUCUUUUUUAUAAGAUGCAUCUGAUUUGUCCGAAAUAAAUGCUUUAAAUGCCCUUCUUAGUUGUAAUCUCUUGUUUUACUUCUCUACUAAGCCCCAUUGGGUUUUAAUUUGUUUCUUUUAUAUUUAUUUCCCAACGGUACAUACUGAGAAAUGUACCUUUGUAAUAUUUGUUGGAAGAUGAUCCAUUUAUCCUCAGUGUUCUUUUCACUAAAGAGUUUAUGCCAGUCAAUAUAUUGUAAAGCUUCCCUUAACUUAUUGAAAUUGGCCUUUUAAAAAUUAUAUGUUUUAGUAUACCCCAUGUGCUUUUGUUUUUUUUGAGUUUAUUUCAAAGGACACUAUAUUGUGAUCACUAUUUCCCAAGUGCUCACCUACUUGAAUGUUGGUCAAAAGAUCAACGUUGUUUGUUAAAACCAGGUCCAGACAAGCAUCCAUUCUAGUUGGUGCUUGUACAAGUUGUGACAUACCAGGAAUAGCCUCCAGUGGGAGCAGUAACAGUGAUAUAGAAAGGGUAGUAGAUACCUGGAAUAGCCUUCCAGUGGGAGCAGUAUCAGUUAUAUAGAAAGGGUAGUAGAUACCUGGAAUAACCUUCCAGUGGGAGCAGUAACAGUGAUAUAGAAAGGGUAGUAGAUACCUGGAAUAGCCUUCCAGUGGGAGCAGUAACAGCGAUAAAGAAAGGGUAGUAGAUACCUGGCAUAGCGUUCCAGUGGGAGCAGUAACAGUGAUAUAGAAAGUGUAGUAGAUACCUGGAAUAGCCUCCCAGCGGGAGCAGUAACAGUGUUAUAGAAAGGGUAGUAGAUCCUUGGAAUAACCUUCCAGUGGGAGCAGUAACAGUGAUAUAGAAAUGGUAGUAGAUACCUGGAAUAGCCUUCCAGUGGGAUGCAGUAACAGUGAUGUAGAAAGGGUAGUAGAUACCUGGAAUAGCCCUCCAGUGGGAGCAGUAACAGUGAUAUAGAAAGGGUAGUAUAUAUCUGGAAUUUCCUUCCAGUGGGAGCGGUAAUGACACUGAUGAAUGAUUGGGAUUUAUCAAAGAACCAACCACAAACAUCCUAUUUUAUGUUGGGAUAAUUAACUCUUUGCUUACCAGUGUCAGCUGUCUAUAUUUCAGUAAUGAAAAGUUUACAAUGAAACAAUUUCACUAAAUUAUUGAUGGGAGAACUGGGAGUGAUAAUAGAGAGCUGGGAGUAAUGAGAGUGUGAGCUGAGAGUGAUAAGAGUUGGGAUUUAUGAGUGAAAGCUGUUUAUCUGUUAACCCAUUAUGAUUCGUAUUGAGCUCUGUUGUUUAACUCUUACAGAAAAGCCUGGCAUGUGUCCUGUACUGCAUAGCGUGAUAAAGUGCCCGGUACCCAACCACCCCGGUAAUUGUGAAUCGGACGCAAACUGCCCUGGAAAUGAGAAAUGCUGUAACAUUGGAUGUAACUUCAGAUGCACAGGUGUGUAAGGUGAGGAAGGUCCUAAUCAGAGGGUAAACAUCUGUCACAGCCCUGGAGAGAGGACAGAUACAGGGAGUGCAGAAUUAUUAGGCAAGUUGUAUUUUUGAGGAUUAAUUUUAUUAUUGAACAACAACCAUGUUCUCAAUGAACCCAAAAAACUCAUUAAUAUCAAAGCUGAAUAUUUUUGGAAGUAGUUUUUAGUUUGUUUUUAGUUAUAGCUAUGUUAGGGGGAUAUCUGUGUGUGCAGGUGACUAUUACUGUGCAUAAUUAUUAGGCAACUUAACAAAAAACAAAUAUAUACCCAUUUCAAUUAUUUAUUAUUACCAGUGAAACCAAUAUAACAUCUCAACAUUCACAAAUAUACAUUUCUGACAUUCAAAAACAAAACAAAAACAAAUCAGUGACCAAUAUAGCCACCUUUCUUUGCAAGGACACUCAAAAGCCUGCCAUCCAUGGAUUCUGUCAGUGUUUUGAUCUGUUCACCAUCAACAUUGCGUGCAGCAGCAACCACAGCCUCCCAGACACUGUUCAGAGAGGUGUACUGUUUUCCCUCCUUGUAAAUCUCACAUUUGAUGAUGGACCACAGGUUCUCAAUGGGGUUCAGAUCAGGUGAACAAGGAGGCCAUGUCAUUAGAUUUUCUUCUUUUAUACCCUUUCUUGCCAGCCACGCUGUGGAGUACUUGGACGCGUGUGAUGGAGCAUUGUCCUGCAUGAAAAUCAUGUUUUUCUUGAAGGAUGCAGACUUCUUCCUGUACCACUGCUUGAAGAAGGUGUCUUCCAGGAACUGGCAGUAGGACUGGGAGUUGAGCUUGACUCCAUCCUCAACCCGAAAAGGCCCCACAAGCUCAUCUUUGAGGAUACCAGCCCAAACCAGUACUCCACCUCCACCUUGCUGGCGUCUGAGUCGGACUGGAGCUCUCUGCCCUUUACCAAUCCAGCCACGGGCCCAUCCAUCUGGCCCAUCAAGACUCACUCUCAUUUCAUCAGUCCAUAAAACCUUAGAAAAAUCAGUCUUGAGAUAUUUCUUGGCCCAGUCUUGAUGUUUCAGCUUGUGUGUCUUGUUCAGUGGUGGUCGUCUUUCAGCCUUUCUUACCUUGGCCAUGUCUCUGAGUAUUGCACACCUUGUGCUUUUGGGCACUCUAGUGAUGUUGCAGCUCUGAAAUAUGGCCAAACUGGUGGCAAGUGGCAUCGUGGCAGCUGCACGCUUGACUUUUCUCAGUUCAUGGGCAGUUAUUUUGCGCCUUGGUUUUUCCACACGCUUCUUGCGACCCUGUUGACUAUUUUGAAUGAAACGCUUGAUUGUUCGAUGAUCACGCUUCAGAAGCUUUGCAAUUUUAAGAGUGCUGCAUCCCUCUGCAAGAUAUCUCACUAUUUUUGACUUUUCUGAGCCUGUCAAGUCCUUCUUUUGACCCAUUUUGCCAAAGGAAAGGAAGUUGCCUAAUAAUUAUGCACACCUGAUAUAGGGUGUUGAUGUCAUUAGACCACACCCCUUCUCAUUACAGAGAUGCACAUCACCUAAUAUGCUUAAUUGGUAGUAGGCUUUCGAGCCUAUACAGCUUGGAGUAAGACAACAUGCAUAAAGAGGAUGAUGUGGUCAAAAUACUUAUUUGCCUAAUAAUUCUGCACUCCCUGUAGGGGGGUAUUGUACAAUAAUCAGUAGAAGAUAUGGGGUACUAUGUCCAUCAGUAAAAGAUACGAGUUGCCCUUUCAAAAGUAGACAAUUUGGGGUGCUGUGCAAUCAGUAGAAGAUUUGGGGUGCUAUAUCCAUUAGUAAAGGAUUUGGGGUGCUAUGUCUAUCAAUCAAAGAUUUGGGGUGCUAUGUCUAUCAGUAGAAGAUUUGGGGUGCUGUGCAAUCAGUAGGAGGGGUUCAGGCAUUCAUUGUCAGUGGUCCAUCACACUGAGCCAUUCCCAGAGAUUCAGAGAGUGUGGGAGGCAAUGUUAGAAUAAAUGAGGUCCGCAGAAGGUGUGAGAUUCUAUAAAUGUCAGUAACACAAGCUGUAAUGAUGAAGGCUGCGUGAUUUGGAAGAUCCGUUUGGUUUUAUCAUUUGGUAUUAUUUUAAGGAAUAAAUUAAUUAAGGAAUACCUUGUUUUUCUUUCAACAGAAAACAAAUCUCUAUCCGAUAACGAGUGACGGAUGAUGCAUAGCACAUAGCACACUGAUGGCAUGCCUCGUGAUCCAUCCUACUAUCUCUCCGCUUGGGAUGGACUGUGUCCCACCACUUCCCAUCCAAUCAUUGCUAAUUACUGUCGCUUGAUG